GUAGCGGCGAGCGAAACGGGAAAAGCCCAAACCAAUGAGCUUGCUCAUUGGGGUUGUAGGACUCCGAUAUGGUAGUUCUUUCAGAUAGUCGAAUGACUUGGAAAAGUCAGUCAGAGAGGGUGAAAGCCCCGUAGAUGAAAUUUGGAAGGCACCUAGGAGGAUCCUGAGUACGGCGGAACACGAGGAAUUCCGUCGGAAUCCGGGAGGACCAUCUCCCAAGGCUAAAUACUCCCUAGUGACCGAUAGUGAACCAGUACCGUGAGGGAAAGGUGAAAAGCACCCCGGAAGGGGAGUGAAAUAGAACCUGAAACCGUGUGCCUACAACAAGUCAAAGCCCGUUAAUGGGUGAUGGCGUGCCUUUUGUAGAAUGAACCGGCGAGUUACGAUUGCAUGCGAGGUUAAGUUGAAGAGACGGAGCCGCAGCGAAAGCGAGUCUGAAUAGGGCGUUUGAGUAUGUAGUCGUAGACCCGAAACCAUGUGAUCUACCCAUGUCCAGGUUGAAGGUGCGGUAAAACGCACUGGAGGACCGAACCCACGUACGUUGAAAAGUGCGGGGAUGAGGUGUGGGUAGCGGAGAAAUUCCAAACGAACUUGGAGAUAGC
rnacentral:rRNA from 1 species